rnacentral:rRNA from 1 species
UACAGAGACUGCAAGCGUUAUUCGGAUUCACUGGGCGUAAAGGGUGCGCAGGCCGCUGUGUGUGUGAGGUGUGAAAUCCCGGGGCUUAACUCCGGAACUGCGCCUCAAACUACACAGCUAGAGCAUUGGAGAGGGAAGUGGAAUUCACGGUGUAGCAGUGAAAUGCGUAGAUAUCGUGAGGAACACCAGAGGCGAAGGCGACUUCCUGGACAAUUGCUGACGCUCAGGCACGAAAGCGUGGGGAGCAAAAGGG